GACGAACGCUGGCGGCGUGCUUAACACAUGCAAGUCGAACGGAAAGGCCUGCUUUCCCUUGUGGAUUGCGGGUACUCGAGUGGCGAACGGGUGAGUAACACGUGAGUGAUCUGCCCCCAACUUGGGUAUAAGCCUGGGAAACUGGGUCUAAUUCCCGAUAGGACUGCAGGGUGGUGCCUGUGGUGGAACACGAUUUUCUAGUGGUUGGGGAUGAGCUCGCGGCCUAUCAGCUUGUUGGUGGGGUAAUGGCCUACCAAGGCGGCGACGGGUAGCCGGCCUGAGAGGGUGGACGGCGACAUUGGGACUGAGAUACGGCCCAGACGCCUACGGGAGGCAGCAGUGGGGAAGAUUGCACAAUGGGCGGAAGCCUGAUGCAGCGACGCCGCGUGGGGGAUGACGGCCUUCGGGUGGUAAACUCCUUUCGACCGCGAGGAAGCCACCUGGUUGGAAGGGUGGUGACGGUAGUGGUAGAAGAAGCACCGGCUAACUACGUG
rnacentral:rRNA from 1 species